UAAACUUUGACAAAUGUAUUAAGAGCUCGCAAAAUUUCAGUACAAAAUCAUAUUUGUGAAAGUCGUGACAAAAAUAAAAUAAAAUUAGUGCUUCAAAAUGCUUACGAAAGUAUAAUUUUCAGAGUUUUGAUUUUUUUUAUCAUGAAUUCCUUUUUUAGGGACGAAAUUAGAAGAAAUUAGCAUUUUCAGAGUUUUGAUCAUUUUAGAAGAAAUUAGAACGAGUACAAAAAGUGAUACAACACAUGACACGGACGCCAAGGCGUGAACAUGGUGCACGGAGCAGAAAGGCAUAUGAUGCUCGACCCAAAAAGGAAAAAAACACAGCUAAGCUCGCUAUACUGGGAAGUAGCGUGGACCACGACGACCAACAUCUCCACAUUCAGAACCGAGGACGCCUCAAGCAACCAAGGCAACACCUUCACGAAGGAGAAUGACGCCGAGACGCAAUCGCCGUUCGAUCCAGAUAACUGGACCUAGGGUUUUCCCUGAUGCUCGAAGAGGGGCACAAAACAUCGGUCGUGAAAGCGCCUCCAAGAAGGGGACGACACCCUCGGGUGUCACUGCUGCCAGCAAAAGAUGAAGGGAUUUCGCCCUAGCCAGAGUCCGAGCAAUCCCAAACCAUCAGAGCAGGAAUCAACGAAGAAGAAGUCGGGCUAAGGCGUGAACCACAACCACAAGAGUGGGAGCAAUGCGGGCGCGCGAGCAAAGAAGCGUAGGAGGGACCGACGAGGCACGGAGGCAGCCGAUGGGUGACUAGGCGGAAUGAGAAGCGGUGGCGGAUGACGAUGGCCGGUGGCCCGAGCGAACCACGAUCCUGAGGGUAGCGCAGAUCCAGGUCAUCGGGACCGAAGCAACAAGGACGCCGACGAGACCAGGGAGCCGAAAUGGGGUGCAGCUCCCGGAGAAUGCUAGAGUUGAAGACGCAUCGGGAUGGGCGGCCAAUCAAAGUGCCGACAGGGUGGGGGUCCAGAGACGCCGACGAGCCGACGAGCCAAGGGAGCCGGAAGGAACGCAACUUCUGGGGCGCGUCGGGCCCAGAGCCGACCCGACCAACCAUGGACGCUGGAGGAACCGCAGGUCGCCCCUACCGGGGUGGUGGUGGUGGUGGGCACGCGUAAAGCCGAAUCCUGGCCGCGCCUCCGAGGCCGCUGCCCGAGGGGGGCCUGUCCGAAGCUCGUGAGGGAGGGGUGUGGGGAGAGGAUCCGCAGCACGGACAGGGCGCCCGUCCGCCGGAGGAGACACAGAGAGCUGGGGACGUCGCUGUCGGUCGAAGGCGAAGCUCCAGAUCCCGUCGGGGGAGGGCGGACGCAAUUGCUUGAGGACACGAGGAGGAGGCCUGCAGGAGGUGCCAGACCAGCCAUCAGCCACGGGAGGGGGGUGGGGCUGCACGCAGACGCCAUGGGAGGGGCUCCGGGGUGCUCGCGUGGUGUGCGAGAUCCACCAUGAGGGGGGUGGGUGGGUGGUGUGUUCCGGGGAGGCGCAACACAUCAGAUACGUCUGGUUUCAUGACCAAAGUUUGCGAGCUCAUAGAACAUAUGUCAAAGUUUGGUGUAAAAAAAUAGUUUCUGUAAACAUUUUUAAAAUAUUGUAUGAUUUUACUCUUUUCAUUUGAGUUGGGAUGCAAAAACAUCACGUCCCUUUUUAAGUCAAUUUAUUUGCCCGGUAUUUGUGGACGGAGGAAGUAAUAUACAUCCCAAAAACCCAAGCACGAAAAAAAUAAAUGACUUGAGACCGGUCCAUUACUUUAGGUGUCUCGCAUGCUGCCAGUGCAGUCAUGUUCAGCGUAGAUAUCAACAGUGAUUGGUAAUUUGUGAACAAUACCAAAUCAAUAUCAAUAUAGAUAUAUUUUAUAAUGUAUUUAUUAAAUAUUGUACUCCCUCCGCCUCAAUUUUUUUUAUCUUAGGUUUGUUCAGAAAUGGAUGUAUCUAAAUACUAAAAUGUGACUAUAUACAUUCAUAUCUAGACAAAUCUAAGACAAGAAUUUUAGGACGGAGGAAGUAGUUGUUACCAGUUUUAUUUACAUAUUUGAUCAAACUUAGAAAGAAUUAACUUUUUGAGGGAAAGUGUCCUUCUACACUUGAGCUCAAUUGAGCUUAGAUGAACAGUAAAUUCAUUUUUUUUCAAAAUGUUGAGAAAAAGCUUGAUUUUUUAGGGUAAACUUUGACAAAUGUACUAAGAGCUCGCAAAAUUUCAGUAUAAAAUCAUAUUUAUGGAAGUCACAACAAAAAUAAAAUAAAAUUAGUGUUUCAAAAUGCUUUGAAAAGUAGCAUUUUCAGAGUUUUGAUUCUUUAUCAUGAAUUCUUUUUUUUGCGAAUACACAUCAAUCAUUUUAGAAGAAAUUAGAAUGAGUACAAAAAGUGAUACAACACAUGACAUGGACGCCAAUGCAUGAACAUAGUGCACAGAGCAGAAAGACAUAGGAUGCUCGACCCGAAAAGGAAAAAAUCACAGCUAAGCCCGCUAUACUAGGAAGUAGCCUGGACCACGACGACCAACAUCUCCAGAUAACCGAGGACACCUCGAGCAAUCAAGACAACGCCUUCACGAAGGAUAACGAUGUCGAGACGUCGUUGCCGUCCGAUCGGGAUAACUAGACCUAGGGUUUCCCCUGAUGCUCGAAGAGGGGCACAAAAC
rnacentral:lncRNA from 1 species